UACAGAGGUCUCAAGCGUUGUUCGGAUUCAUUGGGCGUAAAGGGUGUGUAGGUGGCGCCGUAAGUCGGGUGUGAAAUUUCGGAGCUUAACUCCGAAACUGCAUCCGAUACUGCGGUGCUUGAGGACUGGAGAGGAGACUGGAAUUCAUGGUGUAGCAGUGAAAUGCGUAGAGAUCAUGAGGAAGACCAGUGGCGAAGGCGGGUCUCUGGACAGUUCCUGACACUGAGGCGCGAAAGCGUGGGGAGCAAACAGG
rnacentral:rRNA from 1 species